GUCCCCUGAUUACAAAGCUGCAUCUGAACUGGGAAAACUAUGAAAGAACUACAAAGACCUGGUGAGAAGUCACAGGCUGGGUUUCCCUAGGUGACUCUCGUCAUUGGUCACAUCAUCUGAGGGGGCUCUGCAAACUCUGCUCACUGGGUUGUCACAGAACUACAGGCUCCUCUUCGGUUGAGACACAGGGCUCCUGAGCCAAGGUGACUGCCCCCACUGAGGCGGAUCUCAUCUUCUUGCUCCUACGCUGACACGUGAGAGCCAGUCUAGCCUCUGCACUGCUUGCUGCAAGGCCUCCUGUGAAAGAAAAGCAUCACUUAAGCAAUUGCUAUGGUGAAAACUGAAAGGCUCUAGCCAUUUUCCAACUUUAAGGAAAUACAAAAUGAAGGCUGGUUUUGGUUUUGAUGUUUCAUUCUAUCCGGAUGGGCCCUAAGUGGGUUUUCCGGAUACUCUCGAUGAAUACCCUGCCGAUGGUGGUCCAUGACAGUGUGUGUUGGCUGUUCAGGAAUUACAUCUCCAAUCGAAUUCAAAAUGUCAUUGCCUCUGAGGUCUGCAUGCAUACUCUUGUCAAAACAUAGGAAUCUGGAAGAUACACUUUUCAAGAAAUGGGAGGAAAGUAUUGUAAGUCUCUUAAAGUACAGCUUUGGAAUGAUGAUGUUUCCAAAAGCCAAAGGCGUAUGCCAGGCAUUCAAGAAGCCAAGUUUUCUGUUGGACAUACUCUUGAGAGUGCUGGAAGGUAUGUAUUCCUCUAGGCUGCAACACAUGGAAAAAUGAAGGCUUUCCAAUAACAGUUACGAAAGGCAUUCAUCAGGAUUUAGGAGGCACGGUUGGAAUUUAAUCAAUAAACAUCUCUCUACAUCUCAUACUUGGUUUCUCAAAAACCAGUUUUUCAAAUCAAAUGCUUUUCAACUAAUCUUAGGACAAAUGGGCUAAGAGAGCAAUAGCAGGUGUGACACGGAGGUGCAGUGGAGUUGGGAGGACCGGUACUAUUGUUUCCUUGCUUAAAGCCUCAAGUUACUCAAACCAAAGCAUGCAGAACACAGGGCCACACAGCCUGCUUCCCACAGGCCAGCUCCUUCACAGAAAUUCCCCUGAGGAAGGAUGAGAGAAGCACUCACCCCAGGGCUGCGGCUCAGUUUCGCCCAGUAUGUGCCCCAACUGGGGGUAAAGCAGCUGUGAGCAGGCAGCACAAGCACACGCGGCACCUGAGGGCCACGGGA